CGUUGUCCGGAUUUACUGGGCGUAAAGAGCGCGCAGGCGGUCGUUUAAGUCGAAUGUGAAAGCCCCCGGCUCAACUGGGGAGGGUCAUUCGAUACUGUUCGACUCGAAGGCAGGAGAGGGAAGUGGAAUUCCGGGUGUAGUGGUGAAAUGCGUAGAUAUCCGGAGGAACACCAGUGGCGAAGGCGACUUUCUGGCCUGUUCUUGACGCUGAGGCGCGAAAGCUAGGGGAGCAAACGGG
rnacentral:rRNA from 1 species